rnacentral:rRNA from 1 species
UACGUAGGGUCCGAGCGUUGUCCGGAAUUACUGGGCGUAAAGAGCUCGUAGGUGGUUUGUCGCGUUGUUCGUGAAAACUCACAGCUUAACUGUGGGCGUGCGGGCGAUACGGGCAGACUUGAGUACUGCAGGGGAGACUGGAAUUCCUGGUGUAGCGGUGAAAUGCGCAGAUAUCAGGAGGAACACCGGUGGCGAAGGCGGUUCUCUGGGCCUGUACUGACGCUGAGGAGCGAAAGCGUGGGGAGCAAACAGG